rnacentral:rRNA from 1 species
CAAGCUCCUCGUGCCUGGCAUGCCCGCCUUGCCUCUGCCCUUCGUGCUCAUGGGUUUGUGCCGUCCACUGCUGACACUUCAUUAUUUCUUCUACAGAAGCCAGAAGUCACUAUGUACCUUUUGGUAUAUGUCGAUGAUAUUAUCCUUGUCAGCUCUUCUCAGUAUGCUGCUAAUGCUCUUGUCUGCUCUCUUGGUGCUGAUUUUGCGGUCAAAGAUCUUGGGAAGCUUCACUACUUUCUUGGAGUUGAGGUCACUUCUCGUGCUACUGGUCUUGUCCUUACGCAGAAGAAGUACUCCUUGGAGUUGUUACAAAGAGCUGGCAUGCUGAAGUGCAAACCGACCACCACACCCAUGUCGUCUACCGACAAGAUAACAGCUGUUGAUGGUGAGCUUUUGUCUCCUGCGGAUGCCACAGAGUACAGGAGCAUUGUUGGUGGACUUCAGUACUUGACGAUCACGAGACCAGAUAUCUCUUAUGCUGUUAACAGGGUUUGUCAGUAUCUUCAGGCUCCCAGAGAUACUCAUUGGGCUGCUGUUAAACGCAUUCUUCGUUAUGUUCAGUUCACCCUGACAUUUGGUAUGCAUAUUCGGCCGACUUCCUCUCGGGUCCUUUCGGCCUUCUCUGAUGCAGAUUGGGCUGGUAGCCCAGAUGACAGGCGAUCCACG